UACAGAGGGUGCAAGCGUUGUUCGGAAUUAUUGGGCGUAAAGGGCGCGUAGGCGGUGCGGUAAGUCUGUUGUGAAAUCUCCGGGCUCAACUCGGAGUCUGCAACGGAAACUGCCGUGCUUGAGUAUAGGAGAGGUGAGUGGAAUUCCCGGUGUAGCGGUGAAAUGCGUAGAUAUCGGGAGGAACGCCUGUGGCGAAAGCGGCUCACUGGACCAUAACUGACGCUGAUGCGCGAAAGCUAGGGGAGCAAACAGG
rnacentral:rRNA from 1 species